rnacentral:tRNA from 1 species
UGUCCUGUGGUGUAAUGGUAGCACAUCAGAUUCUGGUUCUGCCUGUGAGGGUUCGAGUCCUUCCAGGACAAC